rnacentral:rRNA from 1 species
UGCGUAGGCGGUUUAUUAAGUUAGUGGUUAAAUAUUUGAGCUAAACUCAAUUGUGCCAUUAAUACUGGUAAACUGGAGUACAGACGAGGUAGGCGGAAUAAGUUAAGUAGCGGUGAAAUGCAUAGAUAUAACUUAGAACUCCGAUAGCGAAGGCAGCUUACCAGACUGAAACUGACGCUGAUGCACGAGAGCGUGGGUAGCGAACA